rnacentral:ncRNA from 1 species
CCGGUUCCGGUUCACGCUGUCCGCAUGAGAUGACGGCGACCCGGCGACC